AUUGAACGCUGGCGGCAUGCUUUACACAUGCAAGUCGAACGGUAACAGGCCUUCGGGUGCUGACGAGUGGCGAACGGGUGAGUAAUGCAUCGGAACGUACCCAGAGGUGGGGGAUAACGCAGCGAAAGCUGUGCUAAUACCGCAUGUGAUCUGAGGAUGAAAGCGGGGGACCGAGCAGCAAUGUUUGGCCUCGCGCCUUUGGAGCGGCCGAUGUCGGAUUAGCUAGUUGGUGGGGUAAAGGCCUACCAAGGCGACGAUCCGUAGCUGGUCUGAGAGGACGACCGGCCACACGGGGACUGAGACACGGCCCAGACUCCUACGGGAGGCAGCAGUGGGGAAUUUUGGACAAUGGGCGCAAGCCUGAUCCAGCAAUGCCGCGUGCGGGAAGAAGGCCUUCGGGUUGUAAGCCGCUUUUGGCAGGAACGAAACGGUGUCCGCUAAUACCGGGCGCUAAUGACGGUACCUGCAGAAUAAGCACCGGCUAACUACGUG
rnacentral:rRNA from 1 species